UUAUAAACUUAGAAUACGAUAUCCCUUGGUUAAUUCUGUUGUUGUUUUGCUGUCUUAUUGACAUAUUUAUUAUAUACAAUCAUAAAAAAAAACAAAAAACGAUACUAGCAUUUGAAUACGCACUUUUGUGUUUUCGUCAUGACAUAUUGUUAUAUGUUUAUUUUUUGUAUUAGGAGAGGACGUCUCUAAUGUUGUUUUAACUUGUGUCCACUUCCUUUUUGCUAUUCUUGCAAAUACAAUAUAUUAAAACGAAAAUAAGAAAAACACACACCAUAUCUAAAUUUGGUUUUAACAAAAAGGACAUUAAUAGUAAUAACCUUUGGAAAUUUAAGAUUUGAUAACGAUAGGGAAUUUCCAUUUAAAUUAAAUAGAAUACACAUAUGAAUCAGAACGUUAAUACUAACAGAUUUUUACAGUAAGCAAAGGAACACAAUUAUAUUAUUUUCAAAAUGACAGACAGGACAAAAAGCGAAGAAAAAGGAAAGAAAUCCACAGAUGAUGGAAACCUUGAUGAAACACUCCUAUCUGGUGGAAGUGAAAAGACUCAUAAUGAAAGUACAUUCAUUGCUCAUUUCAAAGGUCGUCCAUGCUGCCUUUAUGCUAUUGUAUUCCUAUCUAUAUUACUGCUGCUAUCUUUCACCAUAAACAUUCACUACAUGUGUAAAGAGAAACAGAGUUGUAUUCAUGAUGAAAGCUGUCAAAAUAUAACUAGCCCACAAAUGCUCAUAGAUCCCGAUGGUUACAACUGUUCAAGAAAACCAGCAGGCAAUGGUAUUACCAACGUCGAAAGAAUUUUAAAACUUGAAUUAUGGGAAGAAGAGUUAAAAAUAGUAGUGCAACUUCCAACCAAUUUUAUUUUACAUAAAAUUCAAUACGAUGAUGAAAGAGAAAUUGUGUUGUGUAGAAAGGAAAGAAAUUAUUACUACAUUUCUUGUAACAAACCUUAUAACGAUAACUGUACUAUCAUUCAUAGAAGUGAAGAAAACACUACUAUUACUAUUCAGGAAGCAGGUGAUCGAAUACUGACGUAUGAAAUAUCUACCGAGUGCAUUGAUCAAAGAGCUGGACUUGAAUGGAUUCAACCACAAAAGUACAGGUCACCAAAACCCAAAAUUUAAAUUUGCAAUAGUUUGAUUUUAAUAUAAAUUAUCUUAAUAUCUUGAAACAGUGUGGGUUUCAUAUCGUUUUGACAAAUCAAGAAUAUUCAACUGCUCUUUAUUUUGAUGAUGUACGGUGAACCGAUUGUAAAAAAAUACAUGUACUGAUUUUGUGUCAUUCAUAGAUACCUCAUAUCUUUUCAUUUCUAUAAUAAUAAUAAUAAUAAUAAUAAUAAUAAUAAUAAUAAUAAUAAUAAUAAUAAUAAUAAUAUGUUAAUCUUUUUAUAUAAACGAUAUGAGGUUAUAUUGUCAAUUUCUAUAUUUUGAAUUUUAUAACAUUUCAGUUUGAAAAAGGACGAGGGUUACCGAAAGAAUUAUUUAAACUCGUACUAUCUUGUACUUAAAUUGUUUUGCAAUGUUUUUCUUUAUGUAUUGCUUUUUUUAAAUGUUUGUAAUCGCACUGUGAUUCCUAGUAUUUUAUUAUCAUUCUUUUUAUCUUUCAUGUUUAUUGUUAUCGGUGGUAAAUGCAUACUUGCUGGUGCAUCAGAACAAUCAAAUUUCUUUCAAAAACAAAAUAUCAUUUCACUAAUACUAAUGUAGAAUGAACAUGUAUGUCCACAUUGGUUAGUUCGUGCAUCUGUUUAUCAUUGUCUGUUCAGAUAUUUAAUGUUGAUAAUUUCUUUAGGAUACAAAACUUUCCGUCCACGUUUAAGUUUGGAAAUCUUAUACUUGCUUCUUAACAUGAGUGUUUUCAAUCAUUUCGGAAAAAGGAGAUGUGGGGUAUACGUCAAUGGGACGGCAACUAGACUUUAAGGGUUCAUGCGAUUUCCUCAAUUUUUGUUUGUCAUCUCAUUGUUCAAUAUUGCAAUAAAAUUUUCCAAACCAGG